rnacentral:lncRNA from 1 species
ACAAAGACCAUCAUGGUCUGAGGGAACACGGAGGCCCUCUGGAGAGGGCUCUGGCCCUUGGAAUGUAGGUCAUACAGGGACAGUCCCCCUUGGCAAGCAUGCAGCCUUUGUUCCUCUGCCUACUUAAGCAAGCUUCUCUCAGGGGCAGAGCACACUUUCAUCUAGCCAGCUGCCACUGGACCUUCCCUGUGGCUGUGAUGACAUCAACCACUACAAGGGGAAGAAAAAGAAACAACAGGAAAUUCUGCGUUCAGCUAUUAACUGAUAAAUGAAGGAGGAACUGGCUUUUAAAGUCUUCAACUGAUUGGAUGAGGCCCACCCACACUAUGGAAGCUGAGUCCAGGCCAUGAGAAAUCCAAGAUGAAGGCAGAGAGCUGCUUCUUUGGAUGACCAAAGGGGGUUACCGAAGUGGAGAACAGAAUCUGUGGUGGCGUAUGGAACGGCCGUCAUUCAUUCACCCGACAAUGAUGUAUUGAAGGCUUAGUAUGGCAAGAACUAGGCUAACCAGGCACUGGUGGGUAAAAUAGAGAGAUAAGCAGCCCUCCCAGAGCUUGCUGCCGAGUGAGAAGCAAACAUGAAACAAUCAAUCACGCCCAUAAGUGUAAAACUGCAGUCUCGGUAAGAGAUGCGGCAGCAAGAACACAGAGCUGGACCACCUAUAAGGGAUUUACCUUAAUGGGGAAGGUAGGCAGCUGUUGCUGGAGUUUAGAUCUGAAGGAUACGCUGGGCAAGAGGGAAGGAAGUGUGUUCCUGGCAGAGGGAGCAGCAUAAACACAGGGGCUGCAGUCAGAGAAGGGGGGAGUGUGCAAGACGACUCCAGAAAAAUGAUCAGGCCAUGCAGGGUUUGGGUCUUCAUCCUAAAUGGGUCUUUAGGCUGUUAAAGCCCCUAUUACUUGACAAUUCCACUCUUAGGCAUUUACCCAAGAGAAAUGAAAACUUAUGUCCCCAAAAGACUUAACACGAAUAUUCAUAGCAGCCUUAAAAUAGCCUAAAACUGGAAAUAAUACAAAUGUCCAUCAACAAGAGAAUGGAUAAAUAAAUUACAGUAUAUUCAUACUCAAUUGAAAGGAAUGAACACACAACAACACAGAAUACUCUCAAAAAGAUUAUGCUGAGUAAAAUAGCCAGACAUAAAAACAUCUAUACUGUAUAUUUGUAUGAAAUCCAAAACCAGGCAAAACUAAUCUAUGGCGAUAAAAAUCAGAAAGUGGCUGGUUCUGGGUGUGGGGGCCAGGCAGGGGGUGACAUGACUGGAAAAGGGGAGCAAGGGAGCUUUCCGAGGUGAUAGCGAUGUUUUGUGUCUUCUUUGGGGGGGUGAUUUCAGAGGCACAUCCAAUUAUCAAAACUCCUCAAACUGGACUAAAGAUCUUGUUUUAGAUUUUUUAUAAUAUAUAUCAAAAAUUUUUUUUAAGUACAAUACACACAUUAAAGUGUUUUAAGCACAGGACUGACAUCAGAUUUGCAUUGUGAAAAGAGCCCCUGGCUGUGGUCUGGAGAAGGAUAAGAAGAGGCCAGAAGGGAAGUGGGUAGACCAGUUCCUCUGCUUUAUGUGAAUUACCUAGAAGCCAGCAUACCCCUGAGCACCAAAGCGUAUCAGCCCGUCACCUGCCUUUAACACAGAAUUCAGACCUCUCCUUGCUGACCUCCUCUAGGAAUUGUGCAAAACAGUUGUCAAUGGACGGCAAAGGGAAUUUAGCUGGGAAACUGGGGCAAGAGACUAAAGAAACCACAGACAAAGGAGAGAAAUUGAACCAAACUUCUAUUACGUAGACUCUUUCAAGGCAGGAAUCUGUUGAAUGCUUUCUUACGUUCUCAUCCCUACAUCUACAGUUUUCUUCUGAAAUAAGAAGUCUAGCAGGCUGGAACUGGUCGAUGCAAUAGGAAGGCAAAAAUUACCUUUUGCCCAUAGUUGGAAUGAACAGAAUUUAAAUGAGAUAACAUAGAACCAGCUUAUGUCUCAAAAAAAAAAACCAAGCGGGCAGUAUUAUGCAAUGAAAGAGGGUGUGAGACAGGAGCACUGGAUUGUGGAAUGAUGUGUAGGAUCGUAAGGAUUUAUCCUAGACCCCAGUACAAAGUCAGAAAGGCACUUGCUGAAUAUUGAAAAGAAACACAGAAUCAAAGCAUUUUAGAGCUGGAAAGGAUUGUUAGAGGGCAUUUCAGCCUACACAUUUCAUAGAUGAAAUGCAGAGGUAAAAGGACCAAAUUACCCAGGAUUUGAUUAGCACUUUACCAAGUACUUCCACAUUUAUUGCCUCAUUAAAUCCUCAUAAAGUGCUGGCAAAUAGCAAUUAUUAAUUCUUCUAUUCAGAAGAAGAAAUUGGGGCUCAGAGAGUAAAGCAGAAAAGCAAAUUCCCUCCAAUGUUUGAGCUUCUCCUCUGCUUCCAGGGCAUGCCACUAGAUCACAGUUCCCAGCUCUCCUGCAUUUGGAGGGGUGGGCCAACAGAGUUCCAGCCAAUGGAAUGUGGCAGAAGCCUGCUCCAGGGCUGGCCACUAAGACCUAGCAUACAAUCCUUUGUUUUCACAGCCUUAAAAUAGCGUAAAACUGGAAACAAUACAAGUGUCCACCAACAAGAGAAUGGAUAAAUAAAUUGCAGUAUAGUCAUACUCAGUACUCCUCUACCUGCCAUCUAGAUGCAUAAGAUCCAGUAGAGCAGUACGAGGCCCCAAGGGAUGGUGAAGCCACCACUUGGCUGGAGCCUGGGUCCCUGAAUGACUCUGUGGAGCAGAGAUGUUUUCUCCCAUUCACUGACCUGAGUUAGACUGUGACGGGAGUGAGAAACAAACCUGUAUUGUGUCCAGGCACUGAGGUCUUGAUGGUGGUUGUACCAGUUAGCUUAACUAACAUAGAAAGGUUAAGGGACUCAGGCAAAAUCCAUAUAUUAAUUUGUUUCACAAAAAUCUAUUGAGCACCUAUUAUAUGUCUCAGAUACUGUGCUUGGCACUGGGUGUACAUCAAUGAAUUAAGACAGCUCUGGGCUGUGCCCUCCUGGGGUUUAUAUCUGGUGAGCUCACACAGUAUGGACAGGGCUAGGAUCCAAAUGAAAAUCUGCUAACUCUAAAUGUCUUCCGUUUUUCUACUUUGCAUACUUCCUCCCAAAUAAUCUGAAUCAAAAUGUAUGACAUUCCUCAAAGAUCACCUUGAAAAAUAGAAGAUUUGUCCUACCAUGUGAGUUACAGGAUGGAGAAAACGAGCUCCAUGUCUUUUGGGUUGGCUCCAUUCUCAGACGGACAAUCCCCUCAUGGUCAUAAGAUGGCUGCAGGAAUGCCAGCCUCACAGCCCCUUAAAUUCAUAUCCUGUGGAGAGGAAAAAUAUAUCUCUAGUGGCAUUCAUAAACUUCUUGAAAUGUCAUCAGAUGGUGCUGGUUUAGGUCAUGUACCCACCUCAGGAAGACAAGUGCAGGUUGUCUUGGGCUUGGGUCAUGGAUCCAUCUUGAGGUAGGAAUCAGAAUGCCAUUGAGACCUCAUAGACUGAGGGUGGGGAAAGGGUAAAUCCCCAGAAGAAAAUUUGAGGCUGAUUCUGUAAAGAGGGGUAGGCAAAGGAAAACUAUCAAAUGCAAUGAUUAACACUGCAUUGAAUGCAUUGAAUGACUCUACUCAUUGAAUCAAACCCAGAUUCUUUUCAAAGAACAAAGCCGUUAACGAGCUUGGAUAGCUGUCCUUGAAAUUAGCAAAUGUCUGGGUAAACACAAGGAUUAUGGUUUCUACCUAGCCUUAAGGACUAGAAAAGCUAAAAGAGUUAAUAGACACAGUAAAACCUGUUAAAAUAACUCUUGGUGAGAGAAAGUAUAAGCUUGAGUAGGCACUUGGAAAGUUGUAAUUAAAGGGAAAAAAUAAGAAAGUAUACAUACUUUCUCUUAAAAAUGAUUUAUUUCCUGUUGCUUUAGAAAAGGAAGUAUUAAUAAAAUGACAAGAUAAUAUACAUUCAGUGCGAUAGUGUGAUGGGGAAGGGGAGGAAUGGAAAUACAAUUUAAACGAAGAUUGUUAAUAAGAAAGAGCUCCUUGGGAGACUGCCUGGAUAGAUAUCCUAAUGUUAGGCAUAAAUAGAAAAAAAAAUUAUUUUGAACAACUGCUGUUUUUAUUAGGAAAAGUGCAACAGCCAUUUAUGGUCACUUUAUUUCUUACUGUUUUGGGUGGGAUGUUUGGGAUGCUUAUCAAAAUGAAGUUAACUUUUGACAACACAAAUGAAGUCAGCUUUUGACGAUGUAAAUUAAAACCAGACUUAUUUGAAGUCAUGGUAUGAGUGAGGUCUCUCUCUUUUGGUGAAAGUGACUUGGUUUGCAACCAAGUCGAACUAGCUUAGGCAAAAAGGGAUCUUUGUUGGUAGGCUCAUAUAGUUCUGAGCUGGCAAGGGCACACCUGGGCCUCACCGACAAGGAAUCAGAGAUUCAAACACCAUCUAGAGUCUUCUCCUUUCGUCUCUUAUUUCUGUUUCUUUUGUGCUGGUUUUCUUCCUAGGGAUUAUGCCACAAACAAAACAAAUGUUUCACCUUUCCAUUUGUCCUAGAGAGGGAGUAAGCCUCUUUGCCCAGCUCAGUUUUUCCAAUCCUGAGGAAGGCCUUUCAUUGGCCUGGCUUAGGUCAUCUGCUCACUCAGGAACAAAACUCUGUAUUUCCAUCAGCCCUACUAGAUGUGGUUACUCAUCUCUAAUCCAGUUAACUCUAGCCAGGAGCUGGGACUCCCUACAAGAUGUUUGUGGUAGGAAAAUGGGCAUUUUCCAGAAGAAAGAAGGUUGGAAUGCUGGGUCAACAAAACCACAGAUGUUCACACCAAACAUCCAAUUCUUUUCUUAAUAAUAAAGAAUAUUAAAGUCAACAAACAUACUUAUUACUUUAAUAAGUAGAGAGUUACAACUGCAACACUAAAGCCCACACGUCAGGGUAAAAUGCUUGGCACAGGUAGAUAACCCAUACAUUUCCCAGGUGGUUUCAGGCUUUGCUUGGUGCCCAGCCUUGGCACACAGCCUCUCUCUCCUGCUCAGACCACCUAAUGCCUAUUGCAAGGCAGAACUCCACCCAGAUUCCCAAAAUGAAUGCUAACCUUAGGGAGACCUUUGGAGUUCUAUGUGCCACUCAGGGACUCAAGGUCAAAUCAUCUUUAUCCUGCUUUUGACCUUAAGCUUCAGGUCUGAUCGCCAGACCUCUGCUUUGCUCAUCUUUAUGUAAGCCAAGUCUCCCCCUCUCUCCAUCCUUCCACUCACCUGUGUGACCCCCACACAGCAAGAGCCCUUCACAGACAAGCUUCUUAAAAGGAGUAAGCAGGACAGCAGAUCUUGGUCUCUAAAUACCAUUUUCCACUCAAAGGAAACAGGAGUCCUUAGAGAAAUGGCUGAUUCCAGGGCUCUAGCAGGGAAGUAUAAGAGGAGCCUGAAACAUCUUAUUGUCCCAGAGUGUAAAGAGGUGCUCAAAAAAUGAUGGGGAGAUGUCACACUGCUUGACGGGCUCCUUAUCUUACUUGAGUUCUUAGCAGCAUAUAAAACUGCUAAUCUCAUCCUCCUUCUUGAAACGCUCUCCUUCUCUAACUUCUGGUCUUUUUCUACUCCUGGUUCUCUUCUUUCCUCAAUGACAGCUCCGUCUAAAAGUCUUUUCUGAGUAUCUCAUUUUCUGCCCACCUCAUAAAUAUAGGUGUUCCUGGGGGUUCUGUCUUCAACCUUUUUCCCUCCUCAUUCUAUUCCCUCUAUGGUGAUUUUAGCUCAUCCCACAGUUUCAAUUACUAUAUAAACAAUGGCUUCAAAAAUAUAUUUUUUAGUAUGUUUAUGUGUGGAUGGAGAUGAGAGAGAGAGAGAUUGAGCAAAGACAUCUCUCUUAAGCUCCAGAACCAUAUAUCCAUCCAAUUACUUCCUGGUUAUCUCUAAUCUCAAAGAUCACCUCUUAGAAAUUAAAGACAUUUCCUCCCUCUCAUCUAGUAUUCUUUAUUUCUAUUACUGCUACUACCAGCACCUGAUCGUCCAAGCAAGAAAUCCUGGGAUUAUUCUUAAUGUCAAUGCCCUUCAGCCAGAGACAACCAGGAACACACCUCUAGUUGAACGAGUUUAUUACUCAUUGCAGUAAAGGCGAACCGUGGGACUCAGGAAGAGAGUGAGAAAGAACCUAUCCAGGAUUUGGGAUUUGGAUGAGUGAUUUGAGAGAGGGUCUAAGGAAGCAGGGCUCUGCUCUACAUUGGAUGCUGUCAGAAAGAAGAGGCAUUUUAUGAUUGGAAUCUCAAUACAUCUUAUCUACAGGAAGAACCAUCCAGAACAAGGAUAAUACCAUAACUGGUAAAGAAGUAGCUGUCACUCAUUUUAGUCAAGAGAGGGGGGGAUUUGGUAUUUUGUGGAUGGCACAGUGACCCUGUUUUCGUCUGUGCUUAGACAAAAUUAUGAAGCAGACUUGUUUUUUUCUCAUGUUAUAUGGUCUCAGAAUAAUCUGUCUGAUGUUGGUAAUCUGUGAGAUUCAUACGCCCAACAGGAAAUAACACGGCCCAGCUCUGAAUACCAGGUCAGCUUCUGAUGUCAAGAGCUCUUUUUUCCCCCCUCUCUCAUUCAUUACUCUGUCAUUCCCAUAUAAAUUAGUUACCAAAUCCUAUUAAUUUUACUUCCUACCUUUCGGUGGAAUCUGUCUCCUUCUCCCCAUCUUCUUUUCUGCGUCUCAAAUCCAGGCCAUUAUUAUUUGUCAUCUGAAUUACUACAUCAGUCAUUUAACAGUUCACCCAACAUUUCAGCUUGCGCCUGUUCCAGUCCAUCCUCUGCCCUCCACCCUUUAGCCAGAAUGAAGUUUCUAAAUAUAUCAUCCCUGCUUAAAAUCUUCUUCGGCUACAUAACCAGCCAUGUUGCUAACAUUUAAGUGAUAAAAUUAAAAAUCAGUGAGGUUAACAAUGAAAAUAAACUUUUUAUUUUCUCCCUAAAAGGAAUCAAGAAGGGUGGAAGAGUGUAUUUACAUAAGGAAGAGCUGACUUUGGAGACUGUUUUGAUAUUCUGAUUCCCUCUUAAGAAAUUAUGACUCAAUAUGAAUCAAGAGAGUGACACAACUGCUAACAAACUUAAUGCGUUAUUGGCACCAUUAGCAGAAGUAUAUUGUCCAGAACAAGAAAAUUAUAUUCAGUUCAGUUCUGGGUAAUAUAUUUUAAGAAAGAAAUUAUUGAAAGUAUAUGUGCAGAAGAAGGCAACCAGGACAGGGAAGUUCUGGAAAUCAAGUCAUCUGGAUAAUCAAAAAGGUAGAGUUUAAAGAAAAAUAAGAAGGGAUAUGACAAAUGCUUUCAAAUAUCUGAAGAGCUGUCAUAUAUAAGAGGGAGUAACUUUAUUUUAUACAGUUCCAGGGGCAGGACCAAAUCUGAGAAUUACAAAUCCUAGGAAGAUUGAUUUCUGCUCAAUGUAAGGAAACACUUGCUAACAAUCAGAGCUGUAAAAUAAUGGAGCUGGCUUCCUGGAAGGGCAAUGAGCUCCUAGUGACUAGAAGGUUUCAAGCUAAAGCUGAAUAAUUGUCUGGAAAGUAUAUGAACUGUAAAAUAGGAGUGUCAAACCAUCUGUGAUGAUAGGACCGUUGUUUGAGCCAUUGUGGUCCAACACCUUCAUAAAUUACAAUAAAACUAAAUUAGUACAAAUGAAAAGAGAAAAAAAACAUAAAAAGUACAAGCUCAAAUUUUUCAUGAUCUGAUUCAAUAAACAUAAAAUUAAAUUUCAAUAAAUAGAAUUAGAACAAACGUAAAAGGGAAAGAGAAAAGAAUGAUUUAAAAAACUGUUGAAAAUGUGCAUUUAAGAUUAAUAUACAAAAUUUCUAUAACCCUUAACAUUUUAUUGUUCUUCACUUGUCACUGAAGAAAAUUGAGUGACUUAGUAAUUCUCUUGAUUAAACCAUUAUAGACAUACUUUGAAUAAACACCAUGCAUCUUAAUAUUUUAAAGUUUUAAUGUGACAAAUGAGUUUGUUUCUUGUUAAAACAUCCAAUGCAGGUCAGAUUGACGACAAUGCCACUUUCAGGGAAUGGUGUAUAUCUAAACUGCUUCUGUGUGUUGUUUUAAUACCAUUCAUAAGAAAACCACGUUUACAAAGGGAUUUAAAAUACUUUCAGUAUGCCCAGGAUAUUCAUCUUAAUUUUUGUCCAAAAUGAAGCAAAUAAUGCUGUAUUUUCAAAAUUUGUUUUUAACUUCUCAUUAGUUGCCAGUUAGAACAAUGUAUCCUGUAAUUAAAUUUAACUCAUCUUUUGUUGAAAUAAAUGGAUUCCAG